rnacentral:rRNA from 1 species
GAAAGCGUGGGUAGCAAACAGGAUUAGAUACCCUGGUAGUACCACGCCGUAAACGAUGUCUACUAGUCGUUGGGUCCCUUGAGGACUUAGUGACGCAGCUAACGCAAUAAGUAGACCGCCUGGGGAGUACGGCCGCAAGGUUAAAACUCAAAAUGAAUUGACGGGGGCCCGCACAAGCGGUGGAGCAUGUGGUUUAAUUCGAUGCAACGCGAAGAACCUUACCUGGUCUUGACAUACACAGAAUCUUGUAGAGAUACGAGAGUGCCUUCGGGAAUUGUGAUACAGGUGCUGCAUGGCUGUCGUCAGCUCGUGUCGUGAGAUGUUGGGUUAAGUCCCGCAACGAGC